rnacentral:rRNA from 1 species
CCGCGAAUCUAUUUAACCCGGCCGCCCUCGCUCGCCCGCCGGCGUCGCCGCCGCCCGCACACACGCAGCCACCAGAAGCGGAGGAGAAGAAAUAAGAACUAGCGUAGAAUAAAAAGGGGAAAACAACGCCAGAAAGAAUAAUAUCCGGAGCACGAGGCCAACGAGGACGACGAGCGGCAGCAUCACGGAGGAGGAAGAAAAGCGACCGACUACGACAGCCCGCGAGCUCUCGAGUUUCCAGCGAAAAUAUCCGAAGAUCCUUGCUAGUUUCCAGUGACGUUCUAUCCCAUUAAACAAGAUUCUUCAAGGUGAUGGUUCAGUCUCAACCCUGCUGACCUCCAUGUCCGGGGCCCCACGCUCCAACCUUGGACUUGUUCCCAGGGACAUGAAUGGUAGCCUUCCAGUUAGUACUACAAAUUCCUCUGGGCCAAGCAUUGGUGUUAGCUCUUUGGUGACCGAUGGCAACUCAUCACUUUCUGGAGGUGCCCAGUUUCAGCAAAGUACGAGCAUGAAUGCUGAUUCAUUCACGCGCCUUCCUGCCUCUCCGAUGUCGUUUUCGUCCAAUAACAUUUCUGGCUCUUCAGUCAUUGAUGGCUCCAUCAUGCAGCAAAGUCCACCCCAAGAGCAGAUGCAGAAGCGGAGAGCAUCUAGUGUAACAUCACAACCUGUGAUUGAUGCUGCUGCCGCAUUUCAUGCUCAAAAGAAGCCAAGAGUUGAUAUUCGGCAAGAUGAUAUCUUGCAACAACAGUUGAUUCAACAGCUGCUCCAAGGUCAGAGUUCUCUUCAUCUCCAGGGCCAACAUAACCCACAGCUUCAAGCCUUGAUCCGGCAGCACAAACUGGCACAAAUUCAGCAACAACAGCAGCAUCAGUUAUCACAACAAUUUCCUCAGCAUCAACAUUCUCAAGUUGGCAUACCUCGGCAGCCACAAUUGAGGCCACCGCUAGCACAGCCUGGAAUUCAGCUAGCUGGACCUGUUAGGACUCCUGUCGAGAGCGGGCUUUGUUCCCGAAGGUUAAUGCAGUAUUUGUAUCACAAGCGUUACCGGCCAGAUGAUAAUCCCAUAACAUACUGGAGGAAGCUCAUUGAUGAAUAUUUUGCACCACGAUCAAGAGAAAGAUGGUGUGUGUCAUCAUAUGAAAAACCAGGGAAUACCUCGGUUGCUAUUCCACAGACAUCCCCGGGUACAUGGCGUUGUGAUAUUUGUAAUACGCAUUCGGGGAAAGGAUAUGAGGCUACCUCUGAAAUACUUCCUAGACUCUGUCAAAUUAGAUUUGACCACGGUGUUAAGGAUGAAUAUCUAUUCCUUGACAUGCCAAACGAGUUCCGGUUGCCCAACGGACUGCUGCUCCUGGAGCAUGCUAAAGUUGUUCAGAAGAGCAUCUAUGAACACCAACAUGUCACACAUGAGGGACAACUGAGAAUAAUAUUCACUCCAGAACUAAAGAUUAUGUCCUGGGAGUUUUGUUCACGGAAACACGACGAGUAUGUCACUCGCAAGUUUCUAACAGACCAGGUUACACAUAUGCUGCGUGCUACCCAGAAUUACCAAGCUACUGUCACUAAAAAUGGACCUGCUGGCCUAUCGAACGAUGAGGCACAAAACGCUUGCAACCAGUUUGCGUCAGCAUCACGACAACUAGCGAAAAAUAUAGAUCACCACAGCCUAAAUGAGCAUGGUCUUUCUAAAAGAUAUGUUCGCUGUUUGCAGAUAUCAGAGGUGGUGAAUCACAUGAAGGAUCUAAUUGAGUUCAGCCACAAGAAUAAGCUCGGCCCUAUAGAGGGCCUGAAGAACUAUCCCAAACAAACUGCUGGACCAAAGCUCACGGUGCAGAAUUUGCAUGACUCAAAGGCGGUCAAAACAGAAAUAAGCCCCCAUGUGAAUAACGAGGUUCCAGGUGUUGGAGCAAUUAGUAAUAAUCCGCAGAAUCCUGCAGCACAAAGCAAUUACCAACAUAUGCUGAGAAGCUCAAGUGCAAAUCAGUUGCUUCAGCAGGAGGCAUCACAAAAUGCUGCGGCAAUGAACAGUUACCAGAAUAUGUUUAGAAGCUCAAGCGCAAAUCAGGGCUUGCUCCAGCAGGAGGCAUCUCAGAAUGCUGGUGCGCUAAACAAUUACCAGAAUAUGCUUAGAGGCUCAAGCCCGAAUCAAAGUUUGCUUCAGCAGGAGGCAUCGAGUAUCUUCAAAGGUCCUACAGCAGUGCACAGUGGCAUUCAGCUGGAAGCAUCUAGGUCGUUCCGUGCGGCUCAGCUUGGGCAAUUCCAGCAUCCCAUGUCGUUCCAGCAAGGUAUGUCCCAGCACCAGCAUAACAAUUUCCAAGGCCUGGGCGCUAGUCCACAAUUCCAGCAGCAUGUGAUCAAUCAGCUGCUGCAAGAAGCCAAGAACUCCAAUAGCCGCGCUCUUGCUCAUCAGCAACAACAGCAGCAGCACCAUCAACAGCAGCAGCAGCAACACCAUCAACAGCAGCAGCAGCAGCAGCACCAUCAACAGCAGCAACAGCAGCAGCUACAACAUCAACAGCAGCAGCAGCAACAUCAACAGCAGCAGCAGUCUCCUAGUACUCCCAAUGCAAAUGGUGGUCUUGCAUCUGGAGCCGCGGUCGCCAACACCGCUGCUAGCGGAGAGCAGGCACAGCACAUGAAUAACGGCACAGCAAAGGGCGCUGCUUUGAUGGGUAUGACGGGGCCUAGUAAUCUGAUCAACAGUGGAGCUGGCAUGGUCCAGCGAAGCAGCAGUUUCAAGUCAGUGAGCAGCAAUCCGGCCGCUUCUGGCGGCAAUGCGGCGACCCCAAAGGCGGAGUCUGUGCAUGACAUGGACGACCUGGAACAUCUCAUCUCCCACGAACUUGUGGAGAGCGGUCUGUUCAUGGGGGAGCAGCCAGGGGACGGUGGCUUCUCGUGGAACAUCUGACAUCAUUGUCAACUAAAGUCUCCCUACUCCGAGAGCUGUGUUUGAUGGCGAUAUCGCGGUAGAUUAUUAAAAGUUUUUCUUCUCUUUUCGAGAUCGUGUUCGCCGCCUGGAACAGUCUCUAGUGAUCAUAGAUUGAUGAACCUUCAGCUAUGUGAGAGAGUGAGUCGGUUUGGAUAGCAGUGCAACCCAGUGUUAUUAACUAGUAUGGAAUGACAUGAUGUGGUUGUCAUUUGUGCUGCUAUCUUCUUACUAGUGUUUGGUACUUUGGUCUGCCAUCUUUUCUUACUACCCAUGGAGUAGUAGAUUAUAUCCAAGAGAAUGUAGCAUAGCAACUGGCAUUGCAAUGCUACACUAGCAGGUACACAGGCAGUGGCAAUCACAGGAAAACCUCGAUAAUAUUUAAGCUUGUGAGGCAUCAGGACAACUUGUACAAAUUACAGUGGGGAUAGAUCCUUUGGGUCAAUGCAUUUUUUUC